GGGCGCUGUUGGUAAACUGCUUGCCACUGUCUUUGGUCAGAAUAAAUUCGUCAGUGUCUCUCUUCAAUGGGAUGUUCUCCUUCUCCAGCGUCAGGUCAACAUCAGUGCAGACCUGAUAAGGAGGAUGGUGAUGUGCUGCUGACAAGCGAAGCUCCCGUUGACAUGUUGUUGGUGUUGCUGUGGAAGCCGUAAGCUGCACCAGUGGAGACGGUAGAGGGCAGUGUGGAGGUGUUCCAUGUGUACGAGGCAAGUUCACUUUGGCAUGCUGGACAUCUGCUUCUGGGACAAAUCCUGAGGUUCUCUAGCCUAUGGGAUUAAGAUUCGGGGAGCUGCCUGGCCAUAGAUCCAAAAUUUCAAUGUAAUGAUCUCCGAGCCACUUCAUUAUCACUCUUGCAUUGUGACAUGGUGCUCCAUCAUGCUGGAAAAUGCACGGAUCAUCACCAAAUUGCUACUGAAUUUGCUUUUGCAGGGCGUGUUGCUUUUGCAGGGCGUGCUGCACAGCGUUUUUGGGCAGAAUUGUGAGAGAGCCCACUUCCUUGGAUGGAGAGAAGUGGCUUCUUUGCUGCCCUUCUUGACACCAGGCUGUUGUCCAAAAGUCUUGGCCUCGCCACCCACAUGCUGCCAAUAUUGAGCAAGCUCUACACUGGUGGUGACACGAUUCUGUAGCCGACUCCUCAGGAGGAGAUGGUCCUGGCACUAGCUGGACACUCUGGGACGUCCUGAAGCCUUCUUCACUGCAGUUGAAUCUGUCUCCUUGAUGUUUUUGAAGAUCUGAAACAAAGGGGAGUCUUGUGUUCUUCUCAUGCCAUCAGUGGAGCUGGAUCUCACCCUCAGCCCUGAUCCUGAUCCUGAUCCAGAGACACCCU